GUAAAUAUAGUUUAAACAAAACAUUAGAUUGUGAGUCUAACAAUAGAAGCCAAAAAUUUCUUAUUUACC
rnacentral:tRNA from 1 species